GGUGUUGUCGCUCGCUCGCUCUCGCCCCCGUCGCUUUGCUCCGGCUCGCUGCCGCAGAGCUUCGGGUUGCCGCCGCAGAGCUCUGCUUCUGGUCGCCGCCGCCGCGCUCUGCUCCGGCUCCCUGCUGCGACGCUCUGCUUCGGGUAUCCGCCGCCGCGCGCUGUGCUUCGUCUCGCCACCAAAAACACUCUGCUUUCGAUCCAAAGAAGCCGACGAGUCGCCGGAUACGGCGUUGGCGAGGCCGUACGCGCCGGAUCCCGGCCACCUUGCUGCUAAAAACUCCCCCUUGCGAGCUCAAAUGAGGAGUACGGCGGCGGCGAUGUCCUGGAGCAGCACGGGUUGCCCUUUUUCGAUCUGGCUCUGCCCGUCCGACGGCGGUGUCCUCCCUGCCGUCUUCCUCGCCCGCACAAGCUGCCCGUAUCCUCCGCAGGUAAUAUUGAUCUGAGCAGGAUUUGAUUAAUUGUUCUUGGUAUUGAUUGAUUCCUCCCUUGAUUGAUCCAGGCAGGAUUUGAUUGAGGGCAGCAAAAUUACCAAAUCCCGCGGCAGCGGCGGCGGGGAAGCAACAGCACCAAGGAAGGAGCAGCAGUGGCGGCGGACCGAUCAGGCGCGCGGUCGUCUGCAGGCGAGGAAGGAGCAGCGGCGGACGGGGACUUGCCCAACUUCCCCACCGGAGUGGGUGCCCGUGGCGGGCGUUGGGAAGUGGCCGGGGACGCGAGCAAAGCCACGUGGAGGCGCCCGUCGGCCGUGGAGCCGCGGAGGAGCGUGUGGGCGGUGGCGCAGCUCGCCUUCGUACGGGCGGCGGCGCUGGCUGGGCCCUACUGCCGGCUGCCGGCGGUGGCUGGGGCGCGCACCACGCGGGCGACGAAGGGAGGAAGAAGCAGAGAGGGGGGUUGAUAAGCAAGAGAUAUUAAAAGCUGAGGGUUUUUCUAUAAAACUGCAAUUACACUACGCCAGCGACAAGAAUUACGAGACGGAGGGAGUACUAGUAAUUAGACCCUAAGCUAAUUUGCACGGCCGGCCAGCGGUGGCUGUACGUACACGCACCUAGCACAUGCAAGCAACGGCCAUGGCCACGGCUGUUAGUAGAGGCAGGCAACAGAUGUAGCCGGAACUAGAAGUCAGCAGCGAAUGGCAAGCGGCAGCAACAACGAACAGCAGCAGAGCAUAGCAGCAAGCAAGAGCAGCAGGAGCAGCGAAACAGCCAAGCAUGCAGGCGCGGCACAUCGGCGCGGCGAGCGGGGAUGGGGAAGGGCGCGGCCGGUGCGUGCGCACAGGCGGCAUCGACAGCGGCCACGGGCGCCAGCAGCUGCAACAGGAGCAGCAGCCUAGCACGAUGCAAGCAGCAGCACACGUAUGUACGUACGCGUACGCGGCAGCUCGGACGAGCUCCGAGAUGGCGCGGCUACGGCGACGAAUCAACAACAUGGGGAGGGGGUUUGAGAAGAGUGGCUCACAGCGGUGCCGGGGACGAGGUCAGGGAGGCCGGGGUGGACCGGAGCGACGGCAUCGACGGCGAGUUGGUGACGGCCGGUUGAAGAAGAUGGCGAUGGCGUCGGUCACGCAACUCCCCGGCUCGAGCUGGUCCUCGGGACGGAUGAACCCGAGUGCGGCGAUCCUCCAGGAUGUGCCCCCGAGUGACGGCGACUACGGUGGCCGUGGCAACAAGGGCAGGGCAGCGGUGACCGCGGAGAUUUUGACCUCGAUUUCGAGUAGAAGAAGAAGAAGGGGUCGAUGCAGGAAAGAAGGGGGGACGAACUAGGGUUUCGGGGGCGGGCGCCGGGGCUAUAUACGCUGGGGGGCCGGUGGAUGGCUGUCACCGCGGCCAUGGCGCCGUGGAUGGCUGCCACGGCCCCCCUCCGUCUCCUGUAGCGAGGGGAAGGGGACGAGUGGGCGUGGCUGGGCCUUUUUGCUAAAUGGGCCAAGUGGCUCAUUAGAUUAGAUUUCUUUUCUUUCUAUUAGUAUUUCCCUUUUUCUUUUCUAUUUCUUCUUUAGCUACUGUUUUGUAUUUAGUUUAAGUACUAAAUGAUUUUAGUUAAAUGUUCAAGGUAUUACAUAAAUUCGAGACAAUAUUUUGGGCUA